rnacentral:rRNA from 1 species
GACGAACGCUGGCGGCGUGCCUAAUACAUGCAAGUAGAACGCACAGUUUAUACCGUAGCUUGCUACACCAUAGACUGUGAGUUGCGAACGGGUGAGUAACGCGUAGGUAACCUGCCUGGUAGCGGAGGAUAACUAUUGGAAACGAUAGCUAAUACCGCAUAAUAUUAAUUAUUGCAUGAUAAUUAAUUGAAAGGUGCAAUUGCACCACUACCAGAUGGACCUGCGUUGUAUUAGCUAGUAGGUGAGGUAACGGCUCACCUAGGCGACGAUACAUAGCCGACCUGAGAGGGUGAUCGGCCACACUGGGACUGAGACACGGCCCAGACUCCUACGGGAGGCAGCAGUAGGGAAGCUUCGGCAAUGGACGAAAGUCUGACCGAGCAACGCCGCGUGAGUGAAGAAGGUUUUCGGAUCGUAAAGCUCUGUUGUAAGAGAAGAACGGGUGUGAGAGUGGAAAGUUCACACUGUGACGGUAUCUUACCAGAAAGGGACGGCUAACUACGUG